rnacentral:rRNA from 1 species
UACGUAGGUGGCGAGCGUUGUCCGGAUUUACUGGGCGUAAAGAGCGCGCAGGCGGUCGGUCAAGUCGCGUGUGAAAGCCCCCGGCUCAACUGGGGAGGGUCACGCGAUACUGAUCGACUCGAAGGCAGGAGAGGGAAGUGGAAUUCCCGGUGUAGUGGUGAAAUGCGUAGAUAUCGGGAGGAACACCAGUGGCGAAGGCGACUUCCUGGCCUGUUCUUGACGCUGAGGCGCGAAAGCUAGGGGAGCAAACGGG